rnacentral:sRNA from 1 species
CUUUCUCAGGGGGUUGCAGGAGUGACUGGGGGGCUAGAGCCCUGGGGUUUGUUCCAAGCUCAGGUGCAAGCUGAAAGGAACCUGUGCCUCUGGCUGAACAGGGUGAAUCAGCAAUCAGAGAGUGAAGUCAGCUGCCUAGCUGCACAGUGGCUUUCUCAUUUCUAGCUUUUGGCCAACAAUGGCAGCUAGCACGGGGACUUGUGCCAUCUGCAGUCAAGUCACAUUAGGUCAGCUACCCAUCAGCUGGACACUAAGAAAGAAAGAAACUUGAAAUGUGCUGAUCGAUUUUGCGAUAGAAGGAAAGCAUGGCUCCUUUUCCAUCCAUUCACUCUCUUUAAUCACAAGCAAAGCAAAGCGGAACAAAACAACAAAGGAAAAGUUCAACAAUGCAAAAUGUUAAAAUAAAGACAACAAAUAGUUCUA